CUACGGGAGGCAGCAGUGAGGAGUUUUGCGCAAUGGGGGAAACCCUGACGCAGCAACGCCGCGUGAGCGAAGAAGGCCUUCGGGUCGUAAAGCUCUGUCAAGUGGGAAAAACGUUUUCCGGUCAAUAGCCGGAAGAUCUGAUGGUACCGCUGAAGGAAGCACCGGCUAACUCCGUGCCAGCAGCCGCGGUAAUACGGAGGGUGCAAGCGUUGUUCGGAAUUAUUGGGCGUAAAGAGCGUGUAGGCGGUUUGGUAAGUCAGAUGUGAAAGCCCCGGGCUCAACCUGGGAAGUGCAUUUGAAACUGCUUUACUGGAGUAUGGGAGAGGGGGGUGGAAUUCCUGGUGUAGAGGUGAAAUUCGUAGAUAUCAGGAGGAACAUCUGUGGCGAAGGCGGCUCUCUGGACCAAUACUGACGCUGAGACGCGAAAGCGUGGGUAGCAAACAGGAUUAGAUACCCUCGUAGUC
rnacentral:rRNA from 1 species